rnacentral:misc_RNA from 1 species
CACCCCUCAAGCCCCGGCUUGGUCAUGGGCGUCGCGGCCGUGCCGCGCGCCUCAAAGUGCCGCCGGCCGAGCGUACCGCCCCGGAGCGUCGUGAUUGCAUCUCGCUCUUGGGGGUCGGGCGCCGACCGUGCCACCAAAACACAUCA